rnacentral:rRNA from 1 species
CUGGCAGUGAUUCACUGUCCGAGUUGUAAAUUGAAGAGAAUGUCAUCCACGCUGGACCACGUCUAAAUUGUAAUGAUCCACAGUCCUUUGAUGGAGUAUCAGAGAGGGUAAUAAUCCCGUCUUUAACGUGGACUGCCAGUGUUUCUGUGAUGCACUCUCUCAGAGUCGAGUAGUUUGGGAAUGCUGCUCUAAUGGGAGGUAAACUCCUUCUAAAGCUAAAUAUUGGCGAGAGACCGAUAGCGAACAAGUACCGUGAGGGAAAGAUGAAAAGAACUCUGAAAAGAGAGUCAAAUAGAACGUGAAAUUGCUGAAAGGGAAGCGUUUGGAGUCAGACGCGUCUUCAUGCAAUACAGCUCAGUGGCAGAGACUUUGAGACAAGUUACUUGAAGACGGGCCAGCACUCACGAAGACCAUUGAAGAAGGGGUCAUGGAAUGUAGCUCAGUGCUGAGUGAUUAUAGCCUUGAUUCAAAAGCAAUGUGUCCUUUGUGAGAGAUGGACAGCACGACAACAGUUCA